CCUCCAUUCUUGAGUACUGCACUCCUACUAAUGGGGGUAGUAUUAUAUUCCUGGAGGGAGAGGAAUUUUUGGUGGGGGCAGAAAAGCCUUCGGUGCCUACCUCGUAACAUGGGUAGGUUCCAUCCUCUAACUGCCCCACAUGA